GCAUAAGUCCAUGAUGCCAUCUGAAUUUUCAAAAAUCUUUCAACACUCAAAAAAGGCCAUCCACAAACCCAAAAAAUAUAUUAUUUAGUAUAUAGAUGCAAACCAUCACUGCAAGUAGCACACGCCAAAACAAAAACACUAAAAAUUUCUCUUUUGAUACACGACCUAAGUUGUGGUCGAGAGAGAUCCAACCUAGCUCUUUCUUCACACACUCCCUUUCCGUUUCCUAGAUAGGCAACAGAACCAUUUUCAAAUUCAUCUUCUUAUACAUCUCUUAUCUUUCUGGAUUUUCAUGCACCGUCACUUGUGAACACUUGUUAUCAUAUAUAUAAAGAUACACUUAUAUAAGUGUAAUUUUCAUUUUUAUCAUUUAUACCAAGUUUGAAAUCUAGGAAUAUUCAUGCUGGCGGUGUCACCUUUGAGGAGCACACGAGAUGAAAGCCAAGGAGAGAUGGAGGGUUUCUCUAUUGGAACCGAUGACUUUGCUGACCUUUCAGAAGGGAACUUGCUUGAAAGUAUCAACUUCGAUGAUCUCUUCAUGGGAAUCGAUGAUGAAGAAGAUGCCUUGCCGGAUCUGGAGAUGGACCCUGAAAUGCUUGCUGAGUUCUCACUCAGCGGUGGUGAGGAAUCUUCGGAGAUAAACUCUUCAAUUUCAGUGGCAAAUAGUAAAUCUGAUGAUGGGAAUAUAAAUGCUACGAAUAAAGAAGUUGAAGAUCAUAAAGCUGCUAAUUCUUCUUCAGAUUCGGGAACCAAUUCUGGGUCAAGUCGAGGGGAAGAGAUAGUGAGCAGAAGUGAUGAAUCAGUGGUGGUGAAUCCUUUGCCUAAGGAAAGUGAGAAAGGAAGAAAAUCAUCGACUCAAUCCAAGACCAAUCCUCACGGGAAGAGAAAGGUGAAGGUGGAUUGGACCCCAGAUUUGCACAGGCGAUUCGUGCAAGCAGUGGAGCAGCUAGGAGUGGAUAAGGCUGUGCCUUCAAGGAUUUUGGAGAUUAUGGGAAUUGACUGCCUCACCCGCCAUAACAUUGCCAGCCACCUUCAAAAAUAUCGUUCGCAUAGAAAGCAUUUGCUAGCGCGUGAAGCUGAAGCAGCAAGCUGGAGUCAACGGAGGCAAUGUUUCAGUGCAGCAAGUGUUGGUAGAGGAGGAGGCAAGAGAGAUGUGAACCCUUGGCUCGCACCAACCAUGGGUUUCCCUCCCAUGACACCAAUGCACCAUUUUAGACCUUUACAUGUAUGGGGGCAUCACACAAUGGACCAGUCCUUUAUGCAUAUGUGGCCUAAACACAUACCAUAUUCGCCGUCAGCACCACCACCGUGGCCACCGCGGACAGCUCUAUCUCCGCCGCCUCCACCAGAUCCUUUAUAUUGGCACCAACGGGCCCCAAACGUGCCCACCCCAGGAAGACCGUGUUUUCCACAGGGUCUGACAACCACGGUUCGGUUCACUCACCGUAGAGGAAAUACUAUGCAAUAACAUGCAGAGAUUUGGGUCUCCAACUGUACCAGGCAUCCCACCACACCAUGCAAUGUACCAAGUAGAUCCAGGCAUUAGCAUCCCAGCAAGCCAACCACCACCUCGGCCCCUCUUCGACUUUCAUCCGUGUACACACGCAUCAAUGUUCGUCCGUGUCUAUGAAUACAAAAUAAUUUUUUGUUGGAUUCGCGUCGUUCUCAUGGGCAAUUUAUUUCAUGUUUCAUUUUACCAUUUAGCAAAAAACACAAGAAGCUAAUAAUUGGUUCCACGAAAAAGAAAUUGAUGUAUAUAGAAAUACAUAAUCAACGGCACAGUUAUAUUUUUAUUAAGAGCAAAAUUAUUAUCGCAUGGUUAAUUUGAUUUCUUUUUAACAGUCAAAGGAGAGCAUAGACGCAGCUAUUAGUGAUGCUUUAUCAAAACCAUGGUUGCCACUGCCACUUGGCCUUAAAGCUCCAGCACUUGAUGGUGUAAUGGGUGAAUUACAAAAACAAGGGAUUCCAAAAAUUCCACCCUCUUGCGCUUAACAGAAAUCCCAUACGGAAGAGUUUUUUUUUUCUUCUCACGCGGUGUGGAGGCCACAAAACCCUAAUUCGAUGACUUCUCAAUAAUCAUAUAUUGCAUGUUAGAAUACGCAUGCUUGCUUCUUCUCUUUUUUUCUUUUUCUUUUUCUUUUUGUAUGUUUGAGCAAAAAGAAGAAUUGUAGUAAUAUGUGCGGGUAAUUGUUUAGCCAUUUAAUUUUGUGUAUUAUGUUGGAAUAUAUAAAGGCUGUGUUUUUUGUACUAGAAGGAUGAUAUGAGACUAAUAAGGUGAAGAAUCUCAAUAAAGUACUUUAGU